rnacentral:rRNA from 1 species
AUGCAGCUGGUUCGUGGAGGCCAAAUAGCCAUUAACAUUAAUGGGGAAAUGGGACCAUACUUUAGAAACACCAAGGGUGUUUGGCAAGGGGACCCAGUUUCCCCUCUACUCUUCAACAUUGUGACCGAUGCCCUAGUGGCUAUGCUCAAUCAGGACAAGGCAGCGGGGCAUAUUUCGAGUGUUGCAUUGUGGGUGGUACCUAACGAUCUAAAUCACCUUCACUAUGUGGAUGACAUGUUGAUAUUUAUGGUGAAUUCGGCCGAGGGGGUUAUUAAUCUCAAAUUCCUCUUGAUGUGUUUUGAGGCCAUGUUAGGCCUCAAAACCAACUUUGAGAAGAGUGAAGCCUUCGUCUCGGGUGGAGACUUAGAAUCCCAAUGUAGGGCUGCCCCUAUGAUGAACGGUGAGCUGGGAUCAAUCUCGCUCAAGUAUUUUGGGAUGCCCAUCUCAAAUAGGGUCUGA